GACGAACGCUGGCGGCGUGCCUAAUACAUGCAAGUAGAACGCUGAAGAGAGGAGCUUGCUCUUCUUGGAUGAGUUGCGAACGGGUGAGUAACGCGUAGGUAACCUGCCUUGUAGCGGGGGAUAACUAUUGGAAAUGAUAGCUAAUACCGCAUAACAAUGGAUGACACAUGUCAUUUAUUUUAAAGGGGCAAUUGCUCCACUACAAGAUGGACCUGCGUUGUAUUAGCUAGUAGGUGAGGUAAUGGCUCACCUAGGCGACGAUACAUAGCCGACCUGAGAGGGUGAUCGGCCACACUGGGACUGAGACACGGCCCAGACUCCUACGGGAGGCAGCAGUAGGGAAUCUUCGGCAAUGGGGGCAACCCUGACCGAGCAACGCCGCGUGAGUGAAGAAGGUUUUCGGAUCGUAAAGCUCUGUUGUAAGUCAAGAACGGGUGUGAGAGUGGAAAGUUCACACUGUGACGGUAGCUUACCAGAAAGGGACGGCUAACUACGUG
rnacentral:rRNA from 1 species